UGAUUUGCCCCUGUGGUUCUUCCUCUGUCAUUGUGGUGUUUGAUGGUGCUGGUGGCCUAUUGAAGACUCCCAGUCCCCUGGGAGCUGGACGGGAGCGAGAGAUGGGCUCACAGUAGCGCCACUGAGGCCUGGAGAUGACCCAGCAAUAAUGAUAAGCUGGGGAAAGCUCAAGCCAGGACAUGACAAGGCACUUUUAUGUUCACAGAUGGAGUACAUGUGAAUGCCAUACUCAAGGACACGAUGGGAAGAAGGAGGAGGUGGUAUUGCUAACCUUUGGUGAUGUGCACCAUCAACAAACCAUCACUGCCUCCAGCUCUCACGCCCCCACAGACAGUAGGGAUUGGACAUGGCAGAGAAAGAGAAAAGAAUGACCUAUCCAGGAUGUUGUCCAUGGGACUAGGAAAUACUAAGAGAGAGGGAGAACCAUUGCCCCAUCAUCCAUUCCUAAUGGGCAAAUGUGGUCAUACAUCAAACUGCUUGCUUCUCCAUGCUGGCCAGGGGGAAGAGAGGAAUGAGAAAGCAACAGCAUCCUGCCUUGCUACAGCUCCAAGGCACUGGCCACACUAAAGCACUCACCAACCAUGAACAGAGCCCCAGAGGCCCCAUCCGACUUGAAUCAGUCGCUCUGAAAAAUAGAUAUGUGGAGAG